rnacentral:rRNA from 1 species
GCCAUCGCGCAUCUUUUGACUUUGACCUGAAAUCAGGUAGGGCUACCCGCUGAACUUAAGCAUAUCAAUAAGCGGAGGAAAAGAAACUAACAAGGAUUCCCCUAGUAACGGCGAGUGAACCGGGAAGAGCUCAAAUUUGAAAUCUGGCGUGCUCAGUGCGUCCGAGUUGUAAUCUAUAGAGGCGUUUUCCGUGCCGGACUGUGUCCAAGUCCCUUGGAACAGGGUAUCAAAGAGGGUGAUAAUCCCGUACUUGACACAAUGACCGGUGCUCUGUGAUACGUCUUCUACGAGUCGAGUUGUUUGGGAAUGCAGCUCAAAAUGGGUGGUGAGUUCCAUCUAAAGCUAAAUAUUGGCGAGAGACCGAUAGCGAACAAGUACCGUGAGGGAAAGAUGAAAAGCACUUUGGAAAGAGAGUUAAACAGUACGUGAAAUUGUUGAAAGGGAAACGAUUGAAGUCAGUCGUGACUGAGAGGCUCAGCCGGUUCUGCCGGUGUAUUCCCCUCAGUCGGGUCAACAUCAGUUUUGUUCGGUGGAUAAGGGCAGUUGGAAGGUGGCACCCUCGGGUGUGUUAUAGCCAGCUGUCGCAUACAUCGGAUGAGACUGAGGAAUGCAGCUCGCCUUUAUGGCCGGGGUCGC